CUACUGGAUUCCACAGUUUAGAACUCUUAGCCACUUUUGGUCUUUCCCAACUGCCUUGCUCUUCUUCCUUUAGUUCUUAGCUUCCUCUUCACAAAAGCUAUUGGCACUCUUAGCCUAUCAUUCUGGAGCUUCGAACUCAAAGCCCCAUGGGUUCCUCCUUAUCUACUUAUCUAUGGGUCCAAUUUCUCGGGUUCCGAGCAAGCCAACACUAGCAGCCAAGCAAUUUAUGAUAACCGGUUCUUGGUGUUGGUUUUACGGGAUCACAGGAGCUAUUUGAAGAACUAUUGCCAGAGUAUCCGGUCUGGUGAUGUGUACAUCCCUCGGGGGUGUUUCUGUCCCUCCCAGCCCAAUCAAUUUUGUCAGAGGGAGACACAGUAACUGUUGGUGACUUGUAAGUUUAUUGGUUUACUAGGAAGCAGCUGGAUUCACAGUUGAUGAUCCUGUUCACACAAUGUUGCCACUUUCUCUGGAGCUUGGACCAGGAGUUUUGGGAAACAUCUUCGAUGGAGUUGAGGAGGCCUUUGAAGACUAUUGUGAUGUCUACAUCCCUCAAGGUGUGUCGUCUGUCCCAGCUCUUGAAAAACAUUGUCCUUGCGAGUUCUAGCUCAUGAUGAUGGUUCGAAUCUACUACUCAACAGAUUGAUCCAUUAAUUGUAUGGAGAAUUAGGGUCCCUGGAGCUUGGAACUCAAAGUCAUGGGUUCGUUAUUCCAGAUAGAGUAUCUAUCUAUGGUCCAAUAUUACUCGGUUCCGAGCCAGCCAAGCAAUGGCCCCUAUCUUGAAGGAGAUUUCUGCCACGAUCCAAGGUAUGGGGAAUUAGGGUUCCUGGAGCUUCGAACUCAAAGCCACGGUUCCUGAUAUAUCCAAUCCAGAGUAUCUAUCUAUGGUUCCGAGUCAAGUAUCAACACUGCAGCCAAGUAACGGCCAAGAGAGAUGGCCUCAUUAGCCUUCAAUCGGGCUCUUAAGCUCUCUAAACCAGAGGAUAACCGGUUCUUGGUGUGUGGGGUUUUACGGCAUCUUUGGCAACUUCUCGUCCAAAGCAUGGGGAUCACAGGGUAUGCAACUGAAUUCUAUAUUUUUUCUUCUUGAUGAAUUCGGAUAUGAUGCAUGUGUGGAUGGGGGGACCUUGUUGUUUCCAUGGCGGAAACGAGUGUCACAAACAUAGCUGCUCGCUAGCUCUACCAAUCCAUGAACAAGACCAUGAGCAACGUCCAAGAAAACGAAGAAUAAGAAGAAGAACCACUCCAGGAUAGAGAGCCGUGUUAGAACCAGUAGCUACAACACACAAAGCAAGCCUCAGGACAUAACAUUUUACUCCUACCAAAGCAAGCACAUGUCAAAAACAAGGCCAGCAGUAAUCUCCGGGAUGCGGACGUCUGAGCAGUGAUCAUGAAGGUGGAAAUAUUAGUGCUCACGCUGGUCUUGAUACAUGAUAGUGUUCUUGCCAUCAAGUUGGGAGUGCACUUUCGGAUCCAUAUUUUUCAUCUCCAGCUGCAUUAAUUGGUUUAGCUGGGCCACUCCAUGGUUUGGCUAAUCAGGAAGUUUUGCUGUGGAUUAAAUCAGUUGUCGAGGAAUGUGGAGAAAACAUAUCAGAGGAACAACCAAAAGCUAAUGUCUAGAAAACGUUGAACAGUGGCAAGAUUGUUACAGGAUAUGGUCAUGGUGUCUUGCCUAAAACGGAUCCAAGAUACGUGUGCCAAAGAGAGUUUGCCUUGAAGCAUCCACCGGAUGAUCCUCUUUUUCAGCUGCUUUAUGAAGUGGUGCCUCCUAUUCUAACUAAGCUGGGAAAGGUCAAGAACCGGUGGCAUAACGUUGAUGCUCAUAGUAGAGUGCUGCUGAAACUAUUAAUUAUGGUCUAACCUAAGCAAGUUGAUAUGGGACCGGGCUCUUGGACUGCCACUAGAUAGGCCAAAGAAAGGACAGCGGAAACGCUAAGUUGAUCCCUUACUGUGGUUGGUCAAGGUUCUUUCUUUCAUGAAACUAGCCUUCUCUUCCAUUUGAAUGGAUAGUCAUAGACAGCGUAGAUGCCACAGGACAGAUUUCUGCUGCAUUCGACUUCACAACUAAGUGAAUUCUGCAGGCAUCAACAUCUUAUGCUUGUAGCUGGUGUAUAUUCGGUGCUGGCCAAGGACCCAAGUGCUAAUCAAGAGAAAUAAUAUGAUCGGAUGUAAUCAAUCCAUUCACAAAACCUUUCUCCACUCAGGUUUCUCAGUUUCUUCACUAUCUUACUCCCACUUGGCUGAAUACGUUAACGUAUUCUCAUUAGUCGAAAUUGACCAAUUGAUGUUGAUUUGCAUGUUGGUUUUUGGAGUUUCUUAAAUUUCUGUGGACAAAGUUGGUCUAUGUUAUCCGUUUAAUCAACAAAUCAUGAGUUGGCGUAAGUGGAACUGUCCUACAACUUACGUGUACAAGGGAUCUGGAACGUGUCAAGAAACAGAAGAUUCUACUGCCAGAAAAUAAUCAAAAGGACCCUAGCCUCCCUUUCCAUUGGAGUAAGCUGCUGCACCAUCUGAGUAGGAGGACCAGAUAGUUGGUCUAUCGUCUCUUUAGUUGUU